AGAUGAAAUCUUGCUCUGUUGCUCAGGCUGGAGUGCAGUGGUGUGAAAUUGGCUCACUGCAACCUCACCUCUCAGGUUCAAGCGAUUCUGCCUCAGCCUCUCGAGUAGCUGGGACCACAGGUGGGAGACCUCCACAGAACCCUUCCAGCGAGCUGUCUUCUAAAGCAAACAAGCAAAGGAAAGUCUGAGCAGUUUUGAUUAGAUUUCCCAGAAGUCGAAGAGGGGAAAAAUGAAAAAGCUUCAUUUCUCACGUUCUUAAAAGAGAGCACAGAUGUUGCAUCGUCUGGUUAGAUACCCUGAGAAUAAAAUCUGGAUCCAGUGAGAGGAGAGAUUCUGGGUGCUCAUGAAAAAAGAAACAAAACAAAACUUGGGAGCCUCUUGAGAGUGUACAGAAUCAGCCCUUGCCAACUCUUGUUUAUAUGCACUUAACUUUCAGUUAACCAUGGGAAUAAUUCAUGAAAAUCCAAUCUACAAACAAACGCCAUCCCAACGUUCAUGUUAUUGUUUUCCCAAGAAUCUUUCACAAGAGCUAUGAUCAAGUAGAAUUAUGCUUUGAUUUGAAUUUUAAUUCAAUUGAAAAUAAAAAAUGAGGGCC